rnacentral:lncRNA from 1 species
AUGAACUGGGGUCUUGCUAACCCCCGCCACUAUUCUCCCCACAGCCAAUGCCAGGCUAUUCUGAGCCCAACUUGGGCACAGAGCAAAAAGGACAGGCAGCCCAUGAGCCCCCCUGGACAUCUCCAGUCAUCAUAUCUGUGUCCAUAUCUUUGUGAGACGGUCAUGCCUAUGAUCUGCAACAGUGAUUUUCUGAGAUCAACCCUAGUGUCAAGCUUCCUGAGCGGAGCCGCUGCUUCUUGGCUUUCUUCACCCUCUGACUGUGCACUGUACUCAGAGCAUCCAGCAGUUCAAGGAUCUGACAGGAACAAAACCCGGCGAGCAUCAGAAUACUCUCACCGCCACCGCACACUCCCAUCCUAGGCACCACGGUUGAUGGAAUCCAAGCUAGAGGCAACCUAGGAUCCAAAUGAAUAUUAACUCCUUAUUAUUAUUGUUAUUAACUCUACUAAGCAGCCGUGUCUAUGACUCCACAUUAAAAAUGCACAGGGCAGAGCAGGGCCAAGCAAAGGACGGGAAAUAGAUCCCAGCCCUGCCUCUAACUUCUAGUUCCAGUGCCGUGAAUAACUCUGGCCAUAUCCCUUCCUGAUCAAAACUGAGUUGCAGGUCGGCGCUGUCAUGGCGGGUGUGCUGAAGAAGACCACUGGCCUUGUGGGAUUGGCUGUGUGCAACACUCCACACGAGAGGCUAAGAAUAUUGUACACAAAGAUUCUUGAUGUUCUUGAGGAUAUCCCUAAAAAUGCAGCUUAUAGAAAAUAUACAGAACAGAUUACAAAUGAGAAGCUGGCUAUGGUUAAAACGGAACCAGAUGUUCAAAAAUUAGAAGACCAGCUUCAAGGUGGUCAGUUAGAAGAGGUGAUUCUUCAGGCUGAACAUGAACUAAGUCUAGCAAGAAAAAUGGUGCAGUGGAAAACAUGGGAGCCAUUAGUGGAAGAACCUCCUGCCGAUCAGUGGAAAUGGCCAAUAUAAUUAUUAAGUGAUUUUGGUGGGUUGAUGGGAAACUGAUGUAAUUAAAUAUUCUGUUCUAUUAAGAGCAUGUUCAUUGACAUAAUCAAGAAAACGGAUAUAGAAAAUAUCUAGGAAACUUAAAAUUAGUGAUUAUGGUAAUUCGGUCAUGUAAAUUUAUUUUUGAUUUGUAAAGUAGUCACACAAAUUAUUUCAAAGAUAUUUCUAUGAACAGAGACGUCAUGGGAAGAUUUGAGAAUUAAUUAGAAAAAUUCCUACAGAUCUUCAGUAUAGAGGUCAUAAUCAAAAAGUAAAGUUUCUUUAGUAGUAUGUUCAAUAUAUCAUUCAUUUUAAAAAAUUAUCCUGAAGAAGAAAAGAAAACAUCCUUAAUAUGGUCUAAACAAAUUUAUAGAUCACUGUUUGAGGUAAAAAAAUGAGUGAUAUUUUCAAAUGUGAUAAAGUAGCACAAAUGACUGGUAAUAAAAUUUGAAAUUAUGGUUAACCUCCUUAACUGUGAUCUUAUGGAUGUAAAGUAAAAUUUAAAUAUAUAGUUAUAUAUUGAUUACAAAAUCCAUAAUGCCAUUUUGUUUUAGUCAUUAUUUGAAUUAUACCAUUUACUCUGUUUUCUUAGUCUUAAUUUUAUUACAUUUUGUUGUUACUAUAUUUGAAAACCAUCAAAUUAGAAUACGUUGUACAGUUGAAGAAAUUGACUUGGUACUUGAAAGAAAUAUUUUCCACUGCAUAGAGGUACUUGGAAAAUCUUUUCCUUUUGUUGUAUUUGUAUAAGUUAGCUUUCUGGCCCAUAGCCUUUUAAUUUUUUAAUCAACCUAAUUACAUCAGGAUAGAGGUAGAAUUUCUGUAAAAGAAGAGACAUUAAGAGUUCCUGAAAUUUAUAUCUGGCAUAUGGGUAGGCUUAUAUUCAAAACAUCUUAGUCGUACGACUAUAAAUUCAAAGUGGAAUCACUAAGUAGUUUGCAGUACGUUUCUAAUAUAAGUGUAGGUGGGUAUCAAAACAAGACAAAUGCUGUUCAGGGAAAGAAGUUGGCAAGGUUAAAUUUAAACAAAAAUAAAAUUACAUGGGUUUUUGCCUUUAAAAAAAAAAACAAAAAACUGAGUUGCAGUAGAAACGCAAAGUGCGCUGCCAAGAGUGUUAUUUUACUAUAUAAACAGGCAGUCAGUUGGUGACAGGACCUUCCUUCACAAGGCCCGCAUAUGAUAUCUGGUCUCUGCCUGUCCUUCAGCACCUUGCCUGCCUUCACUUGGGUCUUUGGCUUGUUCUUAAAUGGCAAGGCUUUUGGAAUGUGCAGUGAAUUGAAAUGUUUCUUAUGCCUCAGGAUUGGCUGAAAAGAAAAAUAAAACCAAAACAGGGACAUAUUUAAAUUAUGAUCUAUGUGUAUUUGAAACUUCUGCUUAAAACUUCUCACUGCAUUGGCUUUUCCAUAAGAUCAGUAACACUAGAGUCAGCUGACUGUCAGAAAUCAGGACUCAAUCAUCCAUCAAAUAUGGACUGCCUCAGUGGACACCUAUAAAGCUAGGCAAACAGAGGAACAAAUGCAAAUAGCUUAUACUUGCAACACUUCCAGAAAACCAAACAUGCCCAUUUCUAUAAUAUAGAACUAUGAGGUCUCAACACAGCACAUGCAUAGAUCCAGUUUCCUCUAACAGAAAAUUCAGGCCUUGUCCUUGGGCCACUGAGGUGAUUAUUUUUUUCACCCUAAUGAGUAUAUAAUCUAGCUUUUCAUCUUGACUGUCAGCCUGUCUGGAUUUAAGAACAUAGUUUUUCCUUCAGUGAGCAGCCAACAUGUCCUCAUUCCUGGUUUUAAUUAAGAGCUUUAACUUUAUUCUGUUUCUGAUGGGAGCCUGGCUUUAAUUUUCAGGUUAAUUUAAGUUUUAUGUUUCAUUAAUUAAGGUAAUCAAUUUUUUUUUUUUUUUUUUUUUUUUGGAGACAGAGUCUUGCUCUUUCACCAGGCUCCAGGCUGGAGUGCAGUGGGGCAAUCUCAGCUCACUGCAACCUCUGCCUCCCGGGGUUCAAGCAAUUCUCCUGCCUUAGCCUCCCAAGUAGCUGGGACUACAGGCACGCACCACCACACCCAGGUAAUUUUUUGAAUUUUUAGUAGAAACGGGGUUUCACCAUGUUGGCCAGGAUACUCUCAAUUUCUUUACCUCGUGGAUGAUCGAAAUUCUUAACUGCCUCAGAGACAUUGUUAAUAAGUUGAAAGUUGUGCCCUAGUCUUUUACCAAGGUCAACUAGACAGAUAACGUUUCUCCUGUGCCUUAAAUUUAUCAUUAAGGACAUCAUCCACAAUAAUAUUUUAUAUUACCUGUUUAGGAACUCAUAUUGCUUCACGAUUAAAGAAUCAGAGAAAUCUGCUUCUCACAAAAAAAUGUGGCACCACAAGCUGGACAAUGGGCAACACAUCCUAAGUAUGUUUCAAUAAAAAUGUAUGUAAGGUGCUCCAAAAUUUCAUUAAUAAUUUUACAGAAAGAGUAACGCCUUAGGGACUUCUGUUUCUAGCAAAAUGGCAGACUCAUAACUUGAACUACCAUCUUAUUACAAAACAACUGAAUAUCCUAGAUUAAAGUAAACAAAUCUUUUCAAAUAGUCUUAAGCUGUGAAGAAAACAAUGAAUAUUUUAAAAGACCAAAAUCUAAAUGAAAAUGGAAAUCCAUUCAGCCAGCCUAUAUGUUUUAACUGGAAAGUUUAAUUCAUUUACAAAGUUAUUGUUGAUAUGUGAGGGCUCAUUUCUUUCAAUGUAUUAAUUGGUUAUUUUCUGUGUUCUUUGUUCUUUUCGUUCUCUCUAUUUGCUUACCAUUGUGGUUUGGUGGGUUUCUGUAGUGGUAACAUUUGAGUCUUUUCUUUUUCUUAUUUGUGUGUUUGCUCUAUCAGUGUGUUUUAUAUUUUUGAAUUUUUGUGAUGAUAGGUAUUGACCGUUUUCUUGUAGGUGUAGAAUUCCUCUGCCCAUUAGUAAUGACCCUAAAGCUCCUAGGGCAGAGUGUGGAUGGGGUGCAUGUGGUGUCAUGCUUAUCUCCACUCAGCCCACAGGGGAGAACCAAUACCACCAAUUUUGUAGCUAUCCUGUAGACGGGCUUGUCAGUCUGACCAGUUGGUGGUAGGAAGAUGUCCAGAGCUCCCAGCAGCAUGUUUGCCCUGGCAUUGCCAUCUCUAAGGGUGACUUUCCAUCCUGGAACCAAGGCCUAUGAGCUCCUGGCUCCGGCAUGCUGUUGCUAUUUCAAACAGAAGCUACCACAAAUGCUACGUGCCAGGGUUGUACGCAGUUUUCUCAGUGUAGGUGCUGACUUCCUUCACAGUUUCUUCAUGUCUCUUCUGGCUGGAGAGUGGCUCCAUGGAAUCCAUAUUGUUGACACAACAAUUAGUUGUUUCAUACCCAGCGUGUGAGCCAGAAGGUCAGGUUCAUGGGUCUGCCCAUUCUUGGAGAUACCAGCUUCAAAUUCACCAACACCAGCAGCAACAAUCAGAAUAGCACAGCCCGUCUGAAAUGAGCCUGUAUUCAUGUUGCUGAUACAGUCUCUAUGGCCUGAAGCAUCAACAAUAGUCACUGGUACUUGCUGGUCUCAGAUUUCUAAAGGAAGAGGUCAAGGUAGUAUCACAUUCACACUCAGCUUUCAGUUUAUCCAAGACACAGCACACUGAAGAGCCCAUUCCCAACUCAGCAGCCUCCUCCUCACAUUUUCAGUGAUUUGUUUGUCCAGGCCACCACCUGUGUAGAUCAGAUGGCCAGGAAU